UGCUCCUACGGGAUGCAGCAGUGGGGAAUAUUGCGCAAUGGGGGAAACCCUGACGCAGCAACGCCGCGUGCGGGAUGAAGGCUUUCGGGUUGUAAACCGCUUUCAGCAGGGAAGAUAAUGACGGUACCUGCAGAAGAAGCCCCGGCUAACUACGUGCCAGCAGCCGCGGUAAUACGUAGGGGGCAAGCGUUAUCCGGAUUCAUUGGGCGUAAAGCGCGCGCAGGCGGGCCGCGAAGCGGGGCCGCUAAUCUUGGGGCUCAACCUCAAGUCGGGGCCCGAACUGGCAGCCG
rnacentral:rRNA from 1 species